rnacentral:tRNA from 2 species
GUCUUAGUGGUGGAAUGGUAGACACGCUAGCCUUAGGAGCUAGUGCUUUAUGCGUGGAGGUUCGAGUCCUCUCUAAGACA